rnacentral:rRNA from 1 species
AGUGAACGCUGGCGGUAGGCCUAACACAUGCAAGUCGAACGGCAGCACAGUAAGAGCUUGCUCUUACGGGUGACGAGUGGCGGACGGGUGAGGAAUACAUCGGAAUCUACUUUUUCGUGGGGGAUAACGUAGGGAAACUUACGCUAAUACCGCAUACGACCUACGGGUGAAAGCAGGGGAUCUUCGGACCUUGCGCGAUUGAAUGAGCCGACGUCGGAUUAGCUAGUUGGCGGGGUAAAGGCCCACCAAGGCGACGAUCCGUAGCUGGUCUGAGAGGAUGAUCAGCCACACUGGAACUGAGACACGUUCCAGACUCCUACGGGAGGCAGCAGUGGGGAAUAUUGGACAAUGGGCGCAAGCCUGAUCCAGCCAUACCGCGUGGGUGAAGAAGGCCUUCGGGUUGUAAAGCCCUUUUGUUGGGAAAGAAAAGCAGCAGGUUAAUACCCCGCUGUUCUGACGGUACCCAAAGAAUAAGCACCGGCUAACUUCGUG